CAGUAGCCACGGUAAAACGAAGGGGGCUAGCGUUGUUCGGAUUUACUGGGCGUAAAGCGCACGUAGGCGCAUCCUUAAGUCAGAGGUGAAAUCCCAAGGCUCAACCUUGGAACUGCCUUUGAUACUGGGGAUCUCGAGUUCGGGAGAGGUGAGUGGAACUGCGAGUGUAGAGGUGAAAUUCGUAGAUAUUCGCAAGAACACCAGUGGCGAAGGCGGCUCACUGGCCCGAUACUGACGCUGAGGUGCGAAAGCGUGGGGAGCAAACAGGAUUAGAUACCCGUGUAGUCCCUGUCUCUUAUAC
rnacentral:rRNA from 1 species